CGGCAGGCCUAACACAUGCAAGUCGAACGGUAGCACAGAGGAGCUUGCUCCUUGGGUGACGAGUGGCGGACGGGUGAGUAAUGUCUGGGAAACUGCCCGAUGGAGGGGGAUAACUACUGGAAACGGUAGCUAAUACCGCAUAACGUCGCAAGACCAAAGAGGGGGACCUUCGGGCCUCUUGCCAUCGGAUGUGCCCAGAUGGGAUUAGCUAGUAGGUGGGGUAACGGCUCACCUAGGCGACGAUCCCUAGCUGGUCUGAGAAGAUGACCAGCCCCACGGGAACUGAGACACGGUCCAGACUCCUACGGGAGGCAGCAGUGGGGAAUAUUGCACAAUGGGCGCAAGCCUGAUGCAGCCAUGCCGCGUGUAUGAAGAAGGCCUUCGGGUUGUAAAGUACUUUCAGCGAGGAGGAAGGUGUUGUGGUUAAUAACCGCAGCAAUUGACGUUACUCGCAGAAGAAGCACCGGCUAACUCCGUGCCAGCAGCCGCGGUAAUACGGAGGGUGCAAGCGUUAAUCGGAAUUACUGGGCGUAAAGCGCACGCAGGCGGUCUGUCAAGGUGGAUGUGAAAUUCCCGGGCUCAACCUGGGAACUGCAUCCAAAACUGCCAGCUAGGAUUUUUGUAGAGGGGGGUAAAAUUCCAGGUGUAGCGGUGAAAUGCGUAGAGAUCUGGAGGAAUACCGGUGGCGAAGGCGGCCCCCUGGACAAAGACUGACGCUCAGG
rnacentral:rRNA from 1 species